UGCAGUCGAGCGGUAGCACAGGGAGCUUGCUCCUGGGUGACGAGCGGCGGACGGGUGAGUAAUGUCUGGGAAACUGCCUGAUGGAGGGGGAUAACUACUGGAAACGGUAGCUAAUACCGCAUAACGUCGCAAGACCAAAGAGGGGGACCUUCGGGCCUCUUGCCAUCAGAUGUGCCCAGAUGGGAUUAGCUAGUAGGUGGGGUAACGGCUCACCUAGGCGACGAUCCCUAGCUGGUCUGAGAGGAUGACCAGCCACACUGGAACUGAGACACGGUCCAGACUCCUACGGGAGGCAGCAGUGGGGAAUAUUGCACAAUGGGCGCAAGCCUGAUGCAGCCAUGCCGCGUGUAUGAAGAAGGCCUUCGGGUUGUAAAGUACUUUCAGCGGGGAGGAAGGUGUUGAGGUUAAUAACCUCAGCAAUUGACGUUACCCGCAGAAGAAGCACCGGCUAACUCCGUGCCAGCAGCCGCGGUAAUACGGAGGGUGCAAGCGUUAAUCGGAAUUACUGGGCGUAAAGCGCACGCAGGCGGUCUGUCAAGUCGGAUGUGAAAUCCCCGGGCUCAACCUGGGAACUGCAUUCGAAACUGGCAGGCUAGAGUCUUGUAGAGGGGGGUAGAAUUCCAGGU
rnacentral:rRNA from 2 species